rnacentral:rRNA from 1 species
AGAGUUUGAUUAGGGCUCAGGAUGAACGCUGGCGGCGUGCUUAACACAUGCAAGUCGAACGGUGAAAGAGGAGCUUGCUCCUCUGGAUCAGUGGCGAACGGGUGAGUAACACGUGAGUAACCUGCCCCAGACUCUGGGAUAAGCACUGGAAACGGUGUCUAAUACCGGAUACGAGCUUCAGUCGCAUGGCUAGGAGCUGGAAAGAAUUUCGGUCUGGGAUGGACUCGCGGCCUAUCAGCUAGUUGGUGAGGUAAUGGCUCACCAAGGCGACGACGGGUAGCCGGCCUGAGAGGGUGACCGGCCACACUGGGACUGAGACACGGCCCAGACUCCUACGGGAGGCAGCAGUGGGGAAUAUUGCACAAUGGGCGCAAGCCUGAUGCAGCAACGCCGCGUGAGGGACGACGGCCUUCGGGUUGUAAACCUCUUUUAGUAGGGAAGAAGCGAAAGUGACGGUACCUGCAGAAAAAGCACCGGCUAACUACGUGCCAGCAGCCGCGGUAAUACGUAGGGUGCAAGCGUUAUCCGGAAUUAUUGGGCGUAAAGAGCUCGUAGGCGGUUUGUCGCGUCUGCUGUGAAAACUGGAGGCUCAACCUCCAGCCUGCAGUGGGUACGGGCAGACUAGAGUGCGGUAGGGGAGAUUGGAAUUCCUGGUGUAGCGGUGGAAUGCGCAGAUAUCAGGAGGAACACCGAUGGCGAAGGCAGAUCUCUGGGCCGUAACUGACGCUGAGGAGCGAAAGCAUGGGGAGCGAACAGGAUUAGAUACCCUGGUAGUCCAUGCCGUAAACGUUGGGAACUAGAUGUAGGGACCAUUCCACGGUUUCUGUGUCGCAGCUAACGCAUUAAGUUCCCCGCCUGGGGAGUACGGCCGCAAGGCUAAAACUCAAAGGAAUUGACGGGGGCCCGCACAAGCGGCGGAGCAUGCGGAUUAAUUCGAUGCACGCGAAGAACCUUACCAAGGCUUGACAUAUACCGG